AAAAAAAAUUAAAAAAAAAAAAAUCCUUGUCCUUCAGUAGCUCAGAGUAUAAUAGGAGAGACCAGACCAAAGCAAACCCAUGCACAAAUGAUUGAAGCCAACUAUUUCUUCCCCAGGCCAGCACCCACCUAAUUCUAAUGCCUUCUCUCCACCACUCCAGAGUUACAUUCCUUAAUGGCUAAAAUCAAAAGGACAAUAAACAACUAGUGUUGGCGAGGAUGUGAAGAAAAAGAAACCCUCAUGCGCUGUUGGUGGGGGUGUCAAUUGGUCCAGCCACCAUGGAAAACGGAUCUGAGCCUCUGCCCGGCACUGUCAUUAUUAAGGUCUUCAGGGCAAGAAAACAAAAGCCAGACACCGCUACCUUUCACGGGACUUAGAAUCUCAACGUGGCCCUCUUCUCAACCUUGGCAGUUUCUCUCCUUGGUUUUGAAAACUUUUUAAAUGGAUAGCCCACAAGAAUACUGUCUUUUCACAUCGUAAGGGCCCCCCAACCAACUGGGCAUGGCAGGAAGAAUUGUGAAAGACUGGAAAUGGGCAAAAAUGAUGACAGCUUGUCCUGUCUAGGGCACUCUUCCAGGUUAUCCCCACCUUUCAUUGUCUUUGAGUUUCUUUGAAAGCUCUGUAAAUUGUAGAAUACUGAUAGUAAUGCAAAUAAUUGUUGUGUAGAGAAUCCCAAAUUAUGUCUCCUGGAGAUGCACUUGAUGGUUGCCCUGUAGAUAGAGACCAAUUCUGAAUUUAUUUGUAAAUUCAUCUCAUAGUCUUCAUGGUCAAUAUAUGUGUGCACUUUUUGAAUGUUCCAUUAA